rnacentral:rRNA from 1 species
GGGUAACGGGGUGUUAGGGCACGACACCGGAGAGGGAGCCUGAGAAACGGCUACCACAUCCAAGGAUGGCAGCAGGCGCGCAAAUUACCCAAUCCCGACACGGGGAGGUAGUGACAAUAAAUAACAAUACGGGGUUCUUUAGGAUCUCGUAAUUGGAAUGAGUACAAUUUAAAUCUCUUAACGAGGAACAAUUGGAGGGCAAGUCUGGUGCCAGCAGCCGCGGUAAUUCCAGCUCCAAUAGCGUAUAUUAAAGUUGUUGCAGUUAAAAAGCUCGUAGUUGAAUUUCGAGACCGGCUUAUUGGUCGUGCUAUUGUACGUACUGGUAUAAUCGGUUUCUCCUUUCUGACGAACUAUAAUGCCAUUAAUUUGGUGUUUUAGGGAAUCAGGACUGUUACUUUGAAAAAAUUAGAGUGUUUAAAGCAGGCUCACGCUUGAAUACAUUAGCAUGGAAUAACGGAAUAGGACGUUUGAUUCUAUUUUGUUGGUUUCUAGGAUCGACGUAAUGAUUAAUAGGGAUAGUUGGGGGCAUUAGUAUUCAAUUGUCAGAGGUGAAAUUCUUGGAUUUAUUGAAGACUAACUACUGCGAAAGCAUUUGUCAAGGAUGUUUUCAUUAAUCAAGAACGAAAGUUAGGGAAUCGAAGACGAUCAGAUACC